UUGAGAGUUUGAUCCUGGCUCAGAACGAACGCUGGCGGCGCGCCUAAUACAUGCAAGUCGAGCGAGAAGACGUAGCAAUACGUUUGUAAAGCGGCGAACGGGUGAGGAAUACAUGGGUAACCUACCCUCGAGUGGGGAAUAACUAACCGAAAGGUUAGCUAAUACCGCAUACGGCUCCUGGUCUGCGGAUCGGGAGAGAAAGCGAUACCGUGGGUAUCGCGCUCUUGGAUGGGCUCAUGUCCUAUCAGCUUGUUGGUGAGGUAACGGCUCACCAAGGCUUCGACGGGUAGCUGGUCUGAGAGGACGAUCAGCCACACUGGCACUGCGACACGGGCCAGACUCCUACGGGAGGCAGCAGUAAGGAAUAUUGCGCAAUGGGCGACAGCCUGACGCAGCGACGCCGCGUGGGGGAUGAAGGUCUUCGGAUUGUAAACCCCUUUCGGCAGGGAAGAUGGAACGGGUAACCGUUCGGACGGUACCUGCAGAAGCAGCCACGGCUAACUUCGUGCCAGCAGCCGCGGUAAUACGAAGGUGGCAAGCGUUGUUCGGAUUUACUGGGCGUAAAGGGCGCGUAGGCGGCGCGGUAAGUCACUUGUGAAAUCUCUGAGCUUAACUCAGAACGGCCAAGUGAUACUGCAGUGCUAGAGUGCAGAAAGGGCAAUCGGAAUUCUUGGUGUAGCGGUGAAAUGCGUAGAUAUCAAGAGGAACACCUGAGGCGAAGGCGGGUUGCUAGGCUGACACUGACGCUGAUGCGCGAAAGCCAGGGGAGCAAAC
rnacentral:rRNA from 1 species